rnacentral:lncRNA from 1 species
UAUCAGCUAAAGUUAAUUGGAUUUACUUCGAAAAACAGCUCACCUAUUCAAUCUUCCACAUGAUUUACAAGUAAUUUUCAAGCUAUAAGUUGCCGCAAAACACAAGCUCAGGCAAAAAAAAUUCUCAAAAAACGCAUACUAAACAUGACAAACAAUUUCCUCAGCAAAAUCAUGUAAACUACUAACAAAAAUCUUCAAAUAAAAUCAUGCAAACGGGUAAUGGGGCUUUUCCUUGAGGUUUUUAGAUAGUUUAUUUGUGUGGGUAAUGGGUAAAUUAGGUGGGUUAAAUGGGUAAUGGACGGGUAUUUAAAUUUUGGGUUAAAUAAUUAAUCAAAUCGGGUUGAGCCGUAGGAUUGC